rnacentral:ribozyme from 1 species
UGCGCAGCAACUCCUAUCCCUACCUCCUCGCGGUACCGGCCGGAAACUAUGAGCAACCUUAGGGAAGA